rnacentral:rRNA from 1 species
GCGUGCUUAACACAUGCAAGUCGAACGGGAUCCAAAGGCUUUUUGUUUUUGGUGAGAGUGGCGAACGGGUGAGUAACACGUGAGUAACCUGCCCCCUUCUUUUGGAUAACCGCAUGAAAGUGUGGCUAAUACAGGAUAUUCCAGGCUGGUCGCAUGAUUGGUUUGGGAAAUGGUUUGGUCUGGUGGGGGAUGGGCUCGCGGCCUAUCAGCUUGUUGGUGGGGUGAUGGCCUACCAAGGCGGUGACGGGUAGCCGGCCUGAGAGGGUGGGCGGUCACACUGGGACUGAGAUACGGCCCAGACUCCUACGGGAGGCAGCAGUGGGGGAUUUUGCACAAUGGGCGCAAGCCUGAUGCAGCGACGCCGCGUGAGGGAUGAAGGCCUUCGGGUUGUAAACCUCUUUCGCUGGGUUGAAAGGCCAUGCUUUGGGUGUGGUUGAUUUGAACUGGUAAAGAAGUACCGGCUAACUACGUGCCAGCAGCCGCGGUAAUACGUAGGGUACU